GUUUAAUUCAUUUCAAGCACAGUUAACUAAAACGUUUUCCAAUGACCCAAACACCAAAGCUCAUUGAACUUGUCAUGACCAUACGAACUUCUCAAAUGAUGACGCUUUUCACCAUUUAAAUUGGUUUGACUAAAUUUGCUGCCCUCUUCUGGCUAGAUGUGUGCAUCAACACACUGCAUGCUCCUCGAGGACUGGGGUUGUGUGAAGCUACCCUUUUUUUUUUUAAAGCAUACAGUCCUAUUAAGAAUGGACAUAUUUGUCCCAAAAUGUAUUCACAGGUCCAGAAAAAGGAAGGUUGGGGAAGUAAUGGGGAAGGAUGAAUGCGGAAGAGAUGAAGGCAGGAGAAAACCACCCAGACCAGAGUUAGCUGAAGAUGCGACUGCUGAGGCCUUUUGCUCCACCAUAGGAGCUGAAAGGAAGAAGUCAAGUUAUAUCAGCUGUUUUGGUAAACCCCUCCCGCAUCUGAACUGGCUGACACAGAGGGCACAGAAUGAUCAUAGAGAGGAAGCCAGUCCCGUCAUCGCCACCUCACCCACUCUUAAGAUAACCUUCGGGCCAACUGGGGGCCCAAAGCUGGUUAGGAGACACCCUAGAGACACUGUAAUUGUGAUGAACUGAGAGAAUAUUAGGGUAGCAAUGUAAUUCAUUAAUCACAUGCUGUCUGCCUCACUUCUUACCUCUUGCCCUUUCUGUCUUCUACACCUCUCUCCCCACCUCGUCUUUCUCCCUCGUUUUACAAUGCACAACAUAUGUGCAGUGAAGUACAGAUUGAACUUGUAUUUAUAAUAUAAUAUUACAAUUAUCAGAAUUAUAAUGCAUGUAUUAUGUAUUUAUAACACCUGAGUAAUGAACUUCUUUAAAUAAAGCG
rnacentral:lncRNA from 1 species